AGAAUUCCAUUGGCCUGUGGUGUCACCUGCACUCCCUGAUUAAUCCACUAAACUGAGAAAAACGUUACGCUGACUUUGGAUCAACUGGAGUCGAUGAAAGUGAUCGUGUUUUGGAACACGUGAUUUUAAGGUUGCGAUUUUGCAGUCCGGUGGUGGCGUUCUUUGAUCCAGGGCCAGGGGAGGCCGGCCAGGAAAUCUGGCCCAGGCUCUGGCACCCUUCCCCUGGUGUAACAUGCACUCCAGUUUCCUUCUGUUGCGAGGCAUGGAGGAAAUCUAUCACUAUAGUCAACCAUGGUGCCUCCUAUUUUGUUUUACUGUGAAGGAAAUUUGUGACGCCCCCAAUGGGUUGUACUAAAAACGGUUUGGAGGAUAUCAUUAAAGUUGUCAUAAUUC